rnacentral:rRNA from 1 species
UCCAACGUUAAUCGGGGCAGGGUGAGUCGACCCCUAAGGCGAGGCAGAAAUGCGUAGUCGAUGGGAAACGGGUUAAUAUUCCCGUACUGGUGAUAAUUGCGAUGGGGGGACGGAGAAGGCUAGGCUGGCCGGGCGACGGUUGUCCCGGUUUAAGGAUGUAGGCAGGUGAAUUAGGCAAAUCCGGUUCACUAUAUGCUGAGGUCUGAUGACGAGUCACUACGGUGGCGAAGUAGCUCAUGCCCCGCUUCCAGGAAAAGCCUCUAAGCUCUAGAUUAUCACUAAUCGUACCCCAAACCGACACAGGUGGUCAGGUAGAGAAUACUCAGGCGCUUGAGAGAACUCGGGUGAAGGAACUAGGCAAAAUGGUGCCGUAACUUCGGGAGAAGGCACGCUGGCGCUAGGUGAAGUGGUUUACCCAUGGAGCUGAAGCCAGUCGCAGAUACCAGCUGGCUGCAACUGUUUAUUAAAAACACAGCACUGUGCAAACACGAAAGUGGACGUAUACGGUGUGACGCCUGCCCGGUGCUGGAAGGUUAAUUGAUGGGGUUAUCCGUAAGGAGAAGCUCUUGAUCGAAGCCCCAGUAAACGGCGGCCGUAACUA